AGGAUGAACGCUAGCGGCAGGCUUAACACAUGCAAGUCGAGGGGCAGCGCAGGUAGCAAUACCGGGCGGCGACCGGCAAACGGGUGCGGAACACGUACAGAAUCUACCUUUAUCUGGGGCAUAGCCCGAAGAAAUUCGGAUUAAUACCCCAUAAUAUAUAUGAGUGGCAUCACUUGAAUAUUAAAACUCCGGUGGAUAGAGAUGACUGUGCGUCCCAUUAGCUAGUUGGUAGGGUAAUGGCCUACCAAGGCACGAUGGGUAGCUGGUGUGAGAGCACGACCAGCCACACGGGCACUGAGACACGGGCCCGACUCCUACGGGAGG
rnacentral:rRNA from 1 species